AAUGUCCCAACUCUUUAGGUUCAAGUGGGCUGAAAACCCCAUUUAGGCUUGGGAGAAUCUGCUGAGCCUAAUAAGAGUCUGGCUGUGAGAAAGGCUAGCAAGCCUAUUAAAGGUUGGAGUAAGGAAGCUGAUAUCUGCUGCAAUUUUACUGCCUCUUGCUCUGCUGCACCUAUAAGCUACCUGCUGUUCCAGUCCCUCCCCCUACAGGACAUGGAUGCCUACAGGAUCUAUAGAAAGAGACAUCAGAGCAGUUUGUAA
rnacentral:lncRNA from 1 species